CAGAGCCCCCAGCCCGCGAUCGUGGCGUCCCCGAAGAAGCAGCUCAGGGUAGGGGUGUCGCGCCGCCCCUAACCCCGGGCCGCCGGGCAGAAACCCAGCCGGACCCGCCGCCGCCCGGGUGAGAAUUUCUAGGCUUCCCCCCACACAAAGUUCACACCGGAAAUAAAUGUGCAACAGAUCUGAGGCUGCCUGGCUCUUGGAUCUUCUCCCAGUCACUGUCAGGAGCCCUCCAAAGCUCAGAGCCCCACACUGCUACUUGCCGUAAGGAGGAUGCCCUCCUCAGGCAGCUUCUCCCUUUGUGACAACAAGAUGGUCCCCAGCAGCCCCAGACCCCACCCUGUCCUGCAAACCCACAGGGCACUGCCCUGAGCAGCUGGCUUGUACUCUACACCACAGCAAGCAUUGAGUCCCAAGGGUUCUGACUAUACCCCAGAGGAAACAGGAGCAACUGAUUGGCUGGGUCUGGCCACACCCCAUCGGAAAUAGGAACUGAUUGGCUGGGUCUGGCCACACCCCUUUGGAAAUAGGAGCAACUGGCUGGCUGGGCCUGGCCACACCCUGUCGCAGAAUCACAGGAAGAGGACCUGGAUACUGUGCUGCUCACAGCAUCACCCUUGGCGCAUCCCAGAAGACCUGGGGAUCAUGGCUUCCUGAGCUCCACCAGGCCACCCGUCAGGGUCCAGAGCCCCCUUGGGAAUUAUUUGUGCAACAACAAGCUUGGACAGCUCCACACUGGGGAGAGACAGCAGGGCUUAUUUGAAAGAUCCUUCCAGUGGCUUCCUGUAUGGUAACAAGGCAUCCCUGUCCACCUGUCCUGGAAUUUCCCCUAUUGGCACUAUUGUUUUCUGAG
ensembl:lncRNA